rnacentral:rRNA from 2 species
UUAAGCGACUAAGCGUACACGGUGGAUGCCCUGGCAGUCAGAGGCGAUGAAGGACGUGCUAAUCUGCGAUAAGCGUCGGUAAGGUGAUAUGAACCGUUAUAACCGGCGAUUUCCGAAUGGGGAAACCCAGUGUGAUUCGUCACACUAUCAUUAACUGAAUCCAUAGGUUAAUGAGGCGAACCGGGGGAACUGAAACAUCUAAGUACCCCGAGGAAAAGAAAUCAACCGAGAUUCCCCCAGUAGCGGCGAGCGAACGGGGAGCAGCCCAGAGCCUGAAUCAGUGUGUGUGUUAGUGGAAGCGUCUGGAAAGGCGUGCGAUACAGGGUGACAGCCCCGUACACAAAAAUGCACAUACUGUGAGCUCGAUGAGUAGGGCGGGACACGUGGUAUCCUGUCUGAAUAUGGGGGGACCAUCCUCCAAGGCUAAAUACUCCUGACUGACCGAUAGUGAACCAGUACCGUGAGGGAAAGGCGAAAAGAACCCCGGCGAGGGGAGUGAAAAAGAACCUGAAACCGUGUACGUACAAGCAGUGGGAGCACGCUUAGGCGUGUGACUGCGUACCUUUUGUAUAAUGGGUCAGCGACUUAUAUUCUGUAGCAAGGUUAACCGAAUAGGGGAGCCGAAGGGAAACCGAGUCUUAACUGGGCGUUAAGUUGCAGGGUAUAGACCCGAAACCCGGUGAUCUAGCCAUGGGCAGGUUGAAGGUUGGGUAACACUAACUGGAGGACCGAACCGACUAAUGUUGAAAAAUUAGCGGAUGACUUGUGGCUGGGGGUGAAAGGCCAAUCAAACCGGGAGAUAGCUGGUUCUCCCCGAAAGCUAUUUAGGUAGCGCCUCGUGAAUUCAUCUCCGGGGGUAGAGCACUGUUUCGGCAAGGGGGUCAUCCCGACUUACCAACCCGAUGCAAACUGCGAAUACCGGAGAAUGUUAUCACGGGAGACACACGGCGGGUGCUAACGUCCGUCGUGAAGAGGGAAACAACCCAGACCGCCAGCUAAGGUCCCAAAGUCAUGGUUAAGUGGGAAACGAUGUGGGAAGGCCCAGACAGCCAGGAUGUUGGCUUAGAAGCAGCCAUCAUUUAAAGAAAGCGUAAUAGCUCACUGGUCGAGUCGGCCUGCGCGGAAGAUGUAACGGGGCUAAACCAUGCACCGAAGCUGCGGCAGCGACGCUUAUGCGUUGUUGGGUAGGGGAGCGUUCUGUAAGCCUGCGAAGGUGUGCUGUGAGGCAUGCUGGAGGUAUCAGAAGUGCGAAUGCUGACAUAAGUAACGAUAAAGCGGGUGAAAAGCCCGCUCGCCGGAAGACCAAGGGUUCCUGUCCAACGUUAAUCGGGGCAGGGUGAGUCGACCCCUAAGGCGAGGCCGAAAGGCGUAGUCGAUGGGAAACAGGUUAAUAUUCCUGUACUUGGUGUUACUGCGAAGGGGGGACGGAGAAGGCUAUGUUGGCCGGGCGACGGUUGUCCCGGUUUAAGCGUGUAGGCUGGUUUUCCAGGCAAAUCCGGAAAAUCAAGGCUGAGGCGUGAUGACGAGGCACUACGGUGCUGAAGCAACAAAUGCCCUGCUUCCAGGAAAAGCCUCUAAGCAUCAGGUAACAUCAAAUCGUACCCCAAACCGACACAGGUGGUCAGGUAGAGAAUACCAAGGCGCUUGAGAGAACUCGGGUGAAGGAACUAGGCAAAAUGGUGCCGUAACUUCGGGAGAAGGCACGCUGAUAUGUAGGUGAAGUCCCUCGCGGAUGGAGCUGAAAUCAGUCGAAGAUACCAGCUGGCUGCAACUGUUUAUUAAAAACACAGCACUGUGCAAACACGAAAGUGGACGUAUACGGUGUGACGCCUGCCCGGUGCCGGAAGGUUAAUUGAUGGGGUUAGCGCAAGCGAAGCUCUUGAUCGAAGCCCCGGUAAACGGCGGCCGUAACUAUAACGGUCCUAAGGUAGCGAAAUUCCUUGUCGGGUAAGUUCCGACCUGCACGAAUGGCGUAAUGAUGGCCAGGCUGUCUCCACCCGAGACUCAGUGAAAUUGAACUCGCUGUGAAGAUGCAGUGUACCCGCGGCAAGACGGAAAGACCCCGUGAACCUUUACUAUAGCUUGACACUGAACAUUGAGCCUUGAUGUGUAGGAUAGGUGGGAGGCUUUGAAGUGUGGACGCCAGUCUGCAUGGAGCCGACCUUGAAAUACCACCCUUUAAUGUUUGAUGUUCUAACGUUGACCCGUAAUCCGGGUUGCGGACAGUGUCUGGUGGGUAGUUUGACUGGGGCGGUCUCCUCCUAAAGAGUAACGGAGGAGCACGAAGGUUGGCUAAUCCUGGUCGGACAUCAGGAGGUUAGUGCAAUGGCAUAAGCCAGCUUGACUGCGAGCGUGACGGCGCGAGCAGGUGCGAAAGCAGGUCAUAGUGAUCCGGUGGUUCUGAAUGGAAGGGCCAUCGCUCAACGGAUAAAAGGUACUCCGGGGAUAACAGGCUGAUACCGCCCAAGAGUUCAUAUCGACGGCGGUGUUUGGCACCUCGAUGUCGGCUCAUCACAUCCUGGGGCUGAAGUAGGUCCCAAGGGUAUGGCUGUUCGCCAUUUAAAGUGGUACGCGAGCUGGGUUUAGAACGUCGUGAGACAGUUCGGUCCCUAUCUGCCGUGGGCGCUGGAGAACUGAGGGGGGCUGCUCCUAGUACGAGAGGACCGGAGUGGACGCAUCACUGGUGUUCGGGUUGUCAUGCCAAUGGCACUGCCCGGUAGCUAAAUGCGGAAGAGAUAAGUGCUGAAAGCAUCUAAGCACGAAACUUGCCCCGAGAUGAGUUCUCCCUGACUCCUUGAGAGUCCUGAAGGAACGUUGAAGACGACGACGUUGAUAGGCCGGGUGUGUAAGCGCAGCGAUGCGUUGAGCUAACCGGUACUAAUGAACCGUGAGGCUUAACCUU